GGCCUGCAUCCACAUGUGGCUGACUGAGCGUGUUCUUCUGGCUCCCAGCCGAACCUACACAGAGCAUGGCAUGGCUGAUAGGAGAGGGCUUUGGAGUUAGAGAUAAACAAGCCUGGAAUUAAUAAGAGAAUUGAAAUUGGGAGCUGGGGCGCUGGGUAUGACAGCUAUACCCCACCUAUCACCAGAUGAAGACUCACUCUAAGAGAGGGAGACGUGUGGAUGGCGCAUGUAACUCUGUGUCAACCAGUCAAGGUCUAUCUUCCCUCACCACCAGUGCUGGGCUUCUGGAGCGCAUGUCUCCUCCAGGGGUCCCUGUCCAUCUCCUCAGUGUCUCCUCAGUGUUUGACGCCCGGUAAACACGUGUGGAAUGAUGUUGCAGGAUGUGCGUGGCAGGAAAGACCAGGAGCCUGCUGCCUCCACUUCUUGAGUCCCAGAAGACAAGAAGUUUUUUAAAAAGGCCAGUUUGAUGAAGUCAUUUUUACAUUGGUGUCCCGUCAAAGUGCAAAGUCACUCGGUUUUAUUGCCAACUAACAUGCACAGCUGACACGCUCAACAUUGUGCGGCCCACAAUCCCCACCCUGGCUGUGAGGGACGCUCCCAGUCUGCUUGAUCUCUGUUUUGUUUGAAUUUUUAGAAGGGAUCCAGCAGAGGAUUGGAGAGGCGGACCAUGAAGAGACAAGUAGCUUCUCAGAGAAGGGCACCCGCUUGCUGGUCUGAUGGAUGGCGCCUCCUA